rnacentral:lncRNA from 1 species
CUCUUCCGCUCCAGUGUGCUAAAUUCUGUCUUCGAGGCUUGCAGCUCGAAAUCCUGGUUGCUCCUAUGUGGAUUCUAAGUAAUAGGAGAGCUAGCUAAUAUCCAUGGUCCUGGAAGAAUUUCUUCAAUUAUGGAGUUGUUGAGCCUCUGUUAAGGACCGAUGAGACUCACAGGCCCUGCCUAGCCCAAUAAACGGAGAGAGUAAUUUCCACCUCGGAAAACAUUUGAGUACAAACAUCCUUGUAAGAAUCCCCAUAGGAAACGCCAUGCCUCUGCUCAGAUUAAAAAG